rnacentral:lncRNA from 1 species
CUUCAAUGCAGUGCAUUUCUAGAAACAGUUUGUCAAACAUAAAGGGAGAGAGCAAGAUCAUUCUCGGUCAUCGUCCUCUUCAGCAUCGCCUUCGUCACCCAGCUCCCGAGAAGAGAAAGAGAGUAAGAAAGAAAGAGAAGACGAGUUUAAAUCUCACCAUGAGAUGAAAGACUACUCAGGAUUUGCAGGAGUUAGCAGGCCACGAGGAACCUUUUUUCGGAUCAGAGGCAGAGGAAGAGCCCGAGGCGUUUUUGCUGGGACAAACCCUGGUCCAAACAACUCAAACUCCACUUUCCAAAAGAGACCGAAGGAAGAGGAGUGGGAUCCAGAGUAUACCCCAAAGAGCAAGAAGUACUUCUUGCACGAUGACAGAGAUGAUGGUGUGGAUUAUUGGGCCAAAAGAGGAAGAGGUCGUGGUACUUUUCAACGCGGCAGAGGGCGCUUUAAUUUCAAAAAAUCAGGUAGCAGUCCAAAAUGGACUCAUGACAAAUACCAAGGAGAUGGGAUUGUUGAGGAUGAAGAGGAGACCAUGGAAAAUAAUGAAGAGAAGAAGGAUAGGCGCAAA